rnacentral:lncRNA from 1 species
CACUUCUUUGUUCACCAUUGACAAACAUCAUUCAGCACAGGUACUAUGCUACAUACUUGGGGAUGUAGCACAGGUACCUCCUAAUUUGUAGUUUGGGGAAUGGUCAAAAAAGAAUAGAGAUAGACCUAUCCAUAAAGAGUUGCUUUAUUAGGAUAUAUAAAGGUUUAUAGUAUAUGAGUUGCCAGGGGAAGACUUCAUGCAGAAGGUGACAUUGAAAGUAAAGAAAAUGCCAAUAAAAAACUGAAUUUUCCAAUACAGGAUGAAUAAUGUUCAUGAGUCAUUACUCAGUUUUCUAAAAGUCUUGGAGCAUUAAACAUAAUGGAGUAAAAAAGGUUUCCAUCUUGGCAUAUAGAUUUAAUUACUACAUUUGAUUAGAGCUGAGAAAAAAAAUUGAGAAGAAGAUGAAUAUUCAGGACACUUUCCUUCCUCUAAGCAUUUUUACAGAGAAACAAUAUUCAUAAUCACCACAGAUGAAAAUACGAGGCAAAAAUUAAUUUGAAAAGCAUUUUGUUAUGAAGAAUUGUCAGUUUUCCCCAGAUGAGCGCAUGACACCUGCUGGCCAAAUUAUAUAAUUUCCCUCUCCAAAGGAAUGGAAUCUUUUGUGAAAAAUAUAGCUUUAAAUCCAAGUGUCAUGAGAAAGCAACAACGAAAGGUUAUUUAUUUCAUGAACCUCUUCAAUUCAAGCUCAUGAAACAGUAUUUUUAGAGGUAAGAGUACUGCAUUAAAAGAAGAAUCUAGCCUUAGAAUCAACUUCAGUCUGUCAUUUUGACUUGCUGUGCAACGUUUAUUAGGAAAAUUACCUAACCUCUCUGAAUAUCAGUUACUGGACACUCACAUGUGUGUGAUACAGGUGUCUACACUGCAGGGUUACCAAAAUUUCAUGGGCUAAUGUAAGUGAGUGUUCCCCACAUAAUAGGCGCUGCAUUACUGCCAUUAGAUUAGCAGCUUUUGCUAAAAGCAAAACUCUAUAUUCUAGAAAAUAAAUGGUAUCACACUCUAUAGAUAUU